GAUGAACGCUGGCGGCGUGCCUAAUACAUGCAAGUCGAGCGAACAGAUGAGGAGCUUGCUCCUCUGACGUUAGCGGCGGACGGGUGAGUAACACGUGGAUAACCUACCUAUAAGACUGGGAUAACUUCGGGAAACCGGAGCUAAUACCGGAUAAUAUAUUGAACCGCAUGGUUCAAUAGUGAAAGACGGUUUUGCUGUCACUUAUAGAUGGAUCCGCGCCGCAUUAGCUAGUUGGUAAGGUAACGGCUUACCAAGGCGACGAUGCGUAGCCGACCUGAGAGGGUGAUCGGCCACACUGGAACUGAGACACGGUCCAGACUCCUACGGGAGGAAGCAGUAGGGAAUCUUCCGCAAUGGGCGAAAGCCUGACGGAGCAACGCCGCGUGAGUGAUGAAGGUCUUCGGAUCGUAAAACUCUGUUAUUAGGGAAGAACAAAUGUGUAAGUAACUAUGCACGUCUUGACGGUACCUAAUCAGAAAGCCACGGCUAACUACGUG
rnacentral:rRNA from 1 species